rnacentral:rRNA from 1 species
CCCGAUUGGGUGACAGCGGAGGGACAUU